rnacentral:lncRNA from 1 species
GGGUUAGGGGUUAGGGUUCGGGGUAGUGUUAGGGUUUGGGCUUAGGGUUUGGGUUAGGGUUAGGGUUAUGGUCAGGGCGUUAGGUUUAGGGUUAGGGUUAAGGUUAGCGUUAGGGUUAGGGAUAGGGUUAGGCUCAGGGUUCAUUAGGGUUAGGGUUAGGGCUUAGGGGUCCAUUUAAGCGCUGUGCGUGCAUGUCUUUUUGGCAUUUGUGGAGCUCGGUUGUUUUUUUUUUUUUGUGUGUGUGUAUGUUCUAAAUUUUUUUUUUUUUUUUUUUUUGAGGGGUGAAUAGUGUGUGUGCUGAGCGUGGUUGGCAGGUGGAUGUGGGGAGCUGCUCAGGACUGGUAGGUUUGGUUUCUAGGAGUGUGCGGCAUCCUUCCUGUGUGAUGCGACUGAUUGUUGGGCGGGCAUGUUCCAGCUGGUGUGUCUUAAGCAAUGUAGCUUGUGUAGUGUGUGUUGUGUGGCCCGGGUGGAGCUUGCUGUGGUGCUGUGAGUGAACAAUCUCAGUUAGAGCUGGUGAGCAGCUGAAGUACCGGAGCUGGGAAGAGAGAGGUAUUGCAGCAGGUACGCUGCGGCUGUGAGGUGCCUCAGAGUGUGCUUUUCUCCUGUCUUUGCAGUUACUUUGUGCAGUUGUGGAGAGGGAAGGGAAAUCCUCAUGUCAUGAAGCACUGAGGGAAGGUGGAGUGGAUGAUACUGGCUGCACUGUUGGAGCUUGGACUCAGAGAGGAACACGUGAGCACAAUCCUGAUGAUGAGCCUUCAGUUGACUAAGAUGACAAUCAGUGCCUGUGCAUUUCUUGAGGCGGAGGGACUUUGCCAUCCAGCAACCUGAGAGCUAAGUUGGGGGGCACCUGGUAUUUGCAUAUGUGGGGUGGCUAAUGGGAGCUGGGAGGCAGAGCAGCAUGGAGCCUGCUGGCUGAAUAGACUUGGUGCCACUGUGAGGGUGGUUGAGGCUGGGUCACGUUCAGGCUGCUUGUGGCUGGGUCACCAGGCUAAUAGAAGGAGCGGGAUUAUUUUGUAGUGUGAGUGCGUGCGCCAGGCAGGACAGUUUCCUUCUGUUCGUCUGUCCUGUAGUGUUGCUUCUGCAACGUCUGUUCUGUGCUUCUCGGGUCUUGAUAUCCUCCUGGCUUUUUAGACCGGCGACUUGGUAGCGGUGCUGAAGGGCCUCAAUGCUUGUUUUGUCAUCAUGACUCUGAUCUGAGCACUUCUUGUCUUGCAGUCGCUGCUUGAAGUGCAGAUCUGUUUCAGGUCUUGUGCAUCAUACUUGGUUUGAGAUCGCGUCUGUUUCUAUCCUCACUCUUGCAGAAGUCAUCUGGGCCAUAUCAGGAGCUCUUGCGUGGGAAUUGAAUUCCUAAGCAUCGUCUUAUGGGGUUUUCACUCCCCAUCCUUCUGGUCUCUUGUCUUGAAGGCAGGCUUUUUAGGCCUCCAUCAUCCCAGUUCUGGCAGUUGCUUCCAGUCACGUGUCGUGACAUUUGAGUCUCUCCUGGGGUCUGGUGCAGAGCACCUGUUCUGACUUGCCAUUGCUGUAGGGCUUUCCUCUAGGGGUCACUUUUUCUUGCGCCUAGUGUUGUGUGUUUUGUUUGUAGUGUUUGUGGUGUGCCUGUGUGUGUACAUGUUUGGUCUGGAGCUGUCCUGCCUGGCAGUUAGUGAUGACAGCUAACGUGGCAGUGCAUGGGUGUACUAAUACAUUGUUUGUACUGUGUUGGUGAAGACACCCGGUUUGCCUCUGGGCACUUGCUGAAGGGCAUCUGGCACAGUAUAUCUGUUUGCGAGCAACUGCUCGUUUACCUCUAUUCAUAUAAUAAAUUGUAAAAUUUAAUUGCA